rnacentral:hammerhead_ribozyme from 1 species
AUCCAGCUGACGAGCCCCAAAUAGGACGAAACCCUUGUCCUGAAU